rnacentral:rRNA from 1 species
GAUCCAGCCAUGCCGCGUGUGUGAAGGAGGUCUUCGGAUUGUAUAGCACUUUAAGUUGGGAGGAAGGGUUGUAGAUUAAUACUCUGCAAUUUUGACGUUACCGACAGAAUAAGCACCGGCUAACUCUGUGCCAGCAGCCGCGGUAAU